UACGUAGGCAGCAAGCGUUGUCCGGAAUUAUUGGGCGUAAAGAGCUCGUAGGCGGUCUGUCGCGUCGGAUGUGAAAGCCCGGGGCUUAACCCCGGGUCUGCAUUCGAUACGGGCAGACUAGAGUGUGGUAGGGGAGAUCGGAAUUCCUGGUGUAGCGGUGAAAUGCGCAGAUAUCAGGAGGAACACCGGUGGCGAAGGCGGAUCUCGGGGCCAUUACUGACGCUGAGGAGCGAAAGCGUGGGGAGCGAACAGG
rnacentral:rRNA from 1 species